GCGAAGGCGAUGAUGCGUAAAAACUACCUAUUUUAUGAAAGGUUAUUCCUUUUCCUGAUUAGAAAACACCAAUGGAUCCUUCUGAGCCUUUUA